rnacentral:rRNA from 1 species
GACGAACGCUGGCGGCGUGCUUAACACAUGCAAGUCGAACGAAGUGGCGAACGGGUGAGUAACGCGUAAUCAACCUGCCCUUCAGAGGGGGACAACAGUUAGAAACGACUGCUAAUACAGCAUACAGAAGGAGGGGAUUGCGUCUGAUUAGCUAGUUGGAGGGGUGACGGCCCACCAAGGCGAAGAGCAGUAGCCGGUCUGAGAGGAUGAACGGCCACAUUGGGACUGAGACAAGGCCCAGACUCCUACGGGAGGCAGCAGUGGGGAAUCUUCCGCAAUGGACGAAAGUCUGACGGAGCAACGCCGCGUGAGUGAUGACGGCCUUCGGGUUGUAAAGCUCUGUUAAUCGGGACGCGGUACCGGAAUAGAAAGCCACGGCUAACUACGUGCCAGCAGCCGCGGUAAUUC